UCUGGGCUCCGCUCCUUCUGCAAACAGAGUCCACAGCUAAACAUGGACAAAGAUUCUCUGGGGGAAAAAAACCUACAAAACUGAUUCCUAAGCGUCCUGUCCGAAGGAGAGAGGCCCACAUGAAAGCAGUUCUGGAACUCCCUAAUCUAUCUUCAGCUGGACUGAACAUGCACUGAACACGUACUAUGAAUGCCAGUUUACAGAAGAGGAAAAGAGAGUACAAUAUUGAAAGGCGGGGGAUAACCUAACCUCUCCAUGAAGAAACUUACCACAGCCAGGUGAUGAAACUUAACAUCAGUAGUGAUCAAUCAUGUUGCUGGCAUGUACUCUUCACCUGAUGCUCUACCCUUGUGGUCUUCCACCACAGAACCCACAAUUCCACUUUAAUCAUGAAUUGCCAUUUCAACUAAUCUCAAAAACGUCAGACAAAUCCCAAUGAAGAACAUGCUACAAAAUUCCUGACCAGUACUAAAAAUUGCCAAGAUAAGAAACAAAGUCUGAGGAACUGUUACUGCCAAGAUGAGCCUAAGUAGACAU